AUAAGCGGAGGAAAAGAAACCAACAGGGAUUGCCCUAGUAACGGCGAGUGAAGCGGCAACAGCUCAAAUUUGAAAUCUGGCUCUCGGGCCCGAGUUGUAAUUUGUAGAGGAUACUUUUGAUGCGGUGCCUUCCGAGUUCCCUGGAACGGGACGCCAUAGAGGGUGAGAGCCCCGUCUGGUUGGAUGCCAAAUCUCUGUAAAGUUCCUUCAACGAGUCGAGUAGUUUGGGAAUGCUGCUCUAAAUGGGAGGUAUAUGUCUUCUAAAGCUAAAUACCGGCCAGAGACCGAUAGCGCACAAGUAGAGUGAUCGAAAGAUGAAAAGCACUUUGAAAAGAGAGUUAAAAAGUACGUGAAAUUGUUGAAAGGGAAGCGUUUAUGACCAGACUUGGGCUUGGUUAAUCAUCUGGGGUUCUCCCCAGUGCACUUUUCCAGCUCAGGCCAGCAUCAGUUUUCCCCGGGGGAUAAAGGCGGAGGGAAUGUGGCUCUCUUCGGGGAGUGUUAUAGCCCACCGUGUAAUACCCUGGGGGGGACUGAGGUUCGCGCAUCUGCAAGGAUGCUGGCGUAAUGGUCAUCAACGACCCGUCUUGAAACACGGACCAAGGAGUCGUCUUCGUAUGCGAGUGUUCGGGUGUCAAACCCCUACGCGUAAUUAAAGUGAACGCAGGUGAGAGCUUCGGCGCAUCAUCGACCGAUCCUGAUGUUCUCGGAUGGAUUUGAGUAAGAGCAUACGGGGCCGGACCCGAAAGAAGGUGAACUAUGCCUGUAUAGGGUGAAGCCAGAGGAAACUCUGGUGGAGGCUCGCAGCGGUUCUGACGUGCAAAUCGAUCGUCAAAUAUGGGCAUGGGGGCGAAAGACUAAU
rnacentral:rRNA from 1 species